CCUACGGGUGGCAGCAGUGGGGAAUAUUGGACAAUGGGCGAAAGACUGAUCCAGCCAUGCCGCGUGUGUGAAGAAGGCCUUCGGGUUGUAAAGCACUUUCAGUGGGGAAGAAAGCCUUGGGGCUAAUACCCUCGAGGAAGGACAUCACCCACAGAAGAAGCACCGGCUAACUCCGUGCCAGCAGCCGCGGUAAUACGGAGGGUGCGAGCGUUAAUCGGAAUUACUGGGCGUAAAGCGCGCGUAGGCGGUCUGAUAAGCCGGUUGUGAAAGCCCCGGGCUCAACCUGGGAACGGCAUCCGGAACUGUCAGGCUAGAGUGCAGGAGAGGAAGGUAGAAUUCCCGGUGUAGCGGUGAAAUGCGUAGAGAUCGGGAGGAAUACCAGUGGCGAAGGCGGCCUUCUGGACUGACACUGACGCUGAGGUGCGAAAGCGUGGGUAGCAAACAGGAUUAGAUACCCGAGUAGUC
rnacentral:rRNA from 1 species